rnacentral:rRNA from 1 species
AAAACUUUCAACAACGGAUCUCUUGGCUCUGGCAUCGAUGAAGAACGCAGCGAAAUGCGAUAAGUAAUGUGAAUUGCAGAAUUCAGUGAAUCAUCGAAUCUUUGAACGCACAUUGCGCCCCUUGGUAUUCCGAGGGGCAUGCCUGUUCGAGCGUCAUUA